CUACGGGAGGCAGCAGUGAGGAAUAUUGCACAAUGGGGGGAACCCUGAUGCAGCAACGCCGCGUGGAGGAUGACGCAUUUCGGUGUGUAAACUCCUUUUAUAUGUCAAGAAAAUGACGGUAGCAUAUGAAUAAGCGCCGGCUAACUCCGUGCCAGCAGCCGCGGUAAUACGGAGGGCGCAAGCGUUACUCGGAAUCACUGGGCGUAAAGGACGCGUAGGCGGGUUGAAAAGUCAGGUGUGAAAGCCUACAGCUUAACUGUAGAACUGCACUUGAAACUCUCAACCUAGAGUAUGGGAGGGGCAGAUGGAAUUAGUGGUGUAGGGGUAAAAUCCGUAGAUAUCACUAGGAAUACCUAAAGCGAAGGCGAUCUGCUGGAACAUUACUGACGCUAAGGCGUGAAAGCGUGGGGAGCAAACAGGAUUAGAUACCCCGGUAGUC
rnacentral:rRNA from 1 species